UGGACUGCUAACAGAUGCUCUGUACACUGGGGACUUCAACAUGACGUCAUUCACCUGGUCGAUAGUUUAAGUAAGGACAUAUAAAGACGGCGUCCACUAGUAGAAGCUAUGAUAAUGGCAUCGCCCGUAAAUGGUAUGUACAUUGUAUGGGCAUAGUGUUGUUGGAAGACACCCCAUUGUCACCCGGUAUACUGAUAACGAACAACUUACUCCUUAGAAGAAGAGGGGCAAGUUUGAUUAGAUUUCUUUAAUUUUAAGACAUUUGUUAACUUAAAAUGUUCCAUAGGAAAGCAUUGUUUGAUUGAGGCAAAAAAAAACAUCGUUAAGAAGUUUUAAAUUGCAUUUUUCUCCAAUUUGAAAAAGAAAUAAGUGAAGGAAUUUUCUUAAGGAAUAUGAGGAAAUCGCAACCAAACGAGGAUUGUUGCCAAGGUAAAGGAAGACACAACCACACGAGGACGACUGUCAAGGAAUUGUCAGUGAUGCCAAGGGCGACAAUCAGACGUCAGUAAGAACACAGGAUAUAGUCAUGCUGGGUCUAAACGCUACUGCACAGAUAAGGAAUACCGCCCCGGGACUUGGCAUGAAUGGAAUACUCUACAUUAAGCACAUGAUUUAAUCAAUCUCGUUUUGUUUAACUUUGUAAAACUUGGCCACGUGCCUCUAUCAUAGUAUAUAAUGAUUUAUGACGAA